UACGUAGGGGGCAAGCGUUGUCCGGAUUUAUUGGGCGUAAAGAGCGUGUAGGCGGUUUGGUAGGUCCGUUGUGAAAACUCGAGGCUCAACCUCGAGACGUCGGUGGAAACCGUUUGGCUAGAGUCCGGAAGAGGAGAGUGGAAUUCCCGGUGUAGCGGUGAAAUGCGCAGAUAUCGGGAAGAACACCCGUGGCGAAGGCGGCUCUCUGGGACGGUACUGACGCUGAGACGCGAAAGCGUGGGGAGCGAACAGG
rnacentral:rRNA from 1 species